CCCGCAGACCGCCUUAUCGCCUCCCGCCUUGGCGGGGGGAGGAAAGUCCGGACACCACAGAGAAGCAUAGCGGGUAACACCCGUCGGUUCUGAGCAAUCAGAAUCAGGACAAGUGCAACAGAAAGUAUGUACAGGUAAUGCUGUAGUGAAAACAGGUAAACUCUAUGCGGUGAAAUACCAAGUAUAUCAGCAUUUAAGAGCGUCUCGUUCGUUGUUGAAGGGUAGGUAGCUCGAGUCCCGUAGUAAUACGUGAUCUAGAUAAAUGAUAAGGUAUUGUUACUUGUAACAAGAACAGAAUCCGGCUUACAGGUCUGCAUUUUUU
rnacentral:RNase_P_RNA from 2 species